GUAGGGAAUAUUGCACAAUGGGCGAAAGCCUGAUGCAGCAACGCCGCGUGCGCGAUGAAGGCCUUCGGGUCGUAAAGCGCUUUUCGGGGAGAAGAGGAAGGACGGUAUCCCCGGAAUAAGGCUCGGCUAACUACGUGCCAGCAGCCGCGGUAAAACGUAGGAGCCAAGCGUUAUCCGAAUUCACUGGGCGUAAAGCGCAUGUAGGCGGCUUGAUAAGUUGGAUGUGAAAUCUCCUGGCUCAACUGGGAGGGGACGUUCAAUACUGUCGAGCUUGAGGGCAGCAGAGGGAGGUGGAAUUCCCGGUGUAGUGGUGAAAUGCGUAGAUAUCGGGAGGAACACCAGUGGCGAAAGCGGCCUCCUGGGCUGCACCUGACGCUCAGAUGCGAAAGCUAGGGGAGCGAACGGGAUUAGAAACCCGAGUAGUCC
rnacentral:rRNA from 1 species